GUGGCUAACUUAGAGGGUAACGUCUGGACGGCGGCUAAUACCCGAUGUGCCGAGAGGUGAAACUUUUUGGCCGGAGGAUGACCUCCCGUCUGAUUAGCUAGUUGGUGGGGUAAAAGCCUACCAAGGCGACAAUCAGUACCUGGUCUGAGAGGAUGAUCACCCACACUGGGACUGAAACACGGCCCAAACUCCUACGGGAGGCAGCAGUGGGGAAUUUUCCGCAAUGGGCGCAAGCCUGACGGAGCAAGACCGCGUGCGGGAGGACGUUCUAUUGGUUGUAAACCGCUUUUGAUAGGGAAAAAAUACUGACGGUCCCUAUCGAAUCACCAUCGGCUAAUUCCGUGCCACCACCCGCGGUAAUACGGAGGAUGCAAGCGUUAUCCGGAAUUAUGGGGCGUAAAGCGUCCGUAGGUGGUUGUUCAAGUCUGCUUUUAAAGCGUGCGGUUUAACCCCAUACCGGCAGUGGAACCUGGACGACUAGAGUGCGGUAGGGCUCAAGGGAAUUCCCAGUGUACCGGUAAAAUGCUUAAAUUUUGGGAAAAACACCGGUGGCAAAAGCUCCUGAUUGGACGUGCACUGACACUGAGGGACAAAACCUAGGGGAGCGAAGGGAAUUAGAUCCCCCCAUUAUCAACGCUUUCUCCCGC
rnacentral:rRNA from 1 species